GGUCUGGUGGUCUAGUGGUAUGAUUCUCGCUUAGGGUCCACCCUGAAUUCAAAGUCGGUAUGCUCCUUUCCUUCGAAAGGUUCUCACGAUGGCUUGCCAAAGCAUGCGAGAGGUCCCGGGUUCAAUCCCCGGCCAGACCC